rnacentral:miRNA from 1 species
CAAAAGAUUUUUACAGGGUCAUUGAACUUUAAAAACCAUUUGAUUCAUCACUGAACUAUGCAAAAGGUUUCCAUGAGGUCACUGAACUUUGAAAAUCACCAAAUUCAUCACUGAACUUUGCAAAAGGGUUCGAGUGCUCACUAAAUUUAGCUACCUCUCAUAAACCUUUUGUAAAGUUCAAUGACCCUGUGAAAAUCUUUUGU